GCUUCACGUUCAAAGAGCCGUCGAGCCCGGCUCGCCUCAGCUACAGGUUGUACAAGAAACAAGCAGCCGCCGCUACAGGUACUCUAAAGAAAGGGGUGCCGAAGGAGGCGCGCUGGUCGACCCUCCGCUCGGCGCGAGCGCCCUCCGAGACCAGGGGCAUCGUGCGGCGCCUCAGGAACAAAGUGCUACUAGGUAAAAAGCCACCGAAACCUGCUGUUAGGAAAGCGGGCCCGAAAACAAACAAAGACGACACGCCUCCAACGCCGCCGGGCCCGUCCGGUUUCAGAGUGCCACGACCGCCGCCCUCUGAAAGCAGCUAUGCCCCGUCAGAACAGGAUUCUCUAGAUUCAUUCAGACUUACGUUCGCGCCC